CAGUGAGGAAUAUUGGACAAUGGGAGCAAUCCUGAUCCAGCCAUGCCGCGUGCAGGAAGACGGUCCUAUGGAUUGUAAACUGCUUUUAUACAGGAAGAAAAAGCCCGACGAGUCGGGUGUUGACGGUACUGUAUGAAUAAGGAUCGGCUAACUCCGUGCCAGCAGCCGCGGUAAUACGGAGGAUCCGAGCGUUAUCCGGAAUUAUUGGGUUUAAAGGGUCCGUAGGCGGGAUAAUAAGUCAGUGGUGAAAGUUUGUGGCUCAACCAUAAAAUUGCCAUUGAUACUGUUAUUCUUGAGUUAUUGUGAAGUGGUUAGAAUGUGUAGUGUAGCGGUGAAAUGCAUAGAUAUUACACAGAAUACCAAUUGCGAAGGCAGAUCACUAACAAUGCACUGACGCUGAUGGACGAAAGCGUAGGUAGCGAACAGGAUUAGAUACCCUGGUAGUCUACGCAGUAAANCGAUG
rnacentral:rRNA from 1 species